UACGAAGGGGGCGAGCGUUGUUCGGAUUUACUGGGCGUAAAGGGCGCGCAGGCGGCGGAUCAAGUCAGACGUGAAAGCCCCGGGCUUAACCUGGGAACUGCGUUUGGGACUGGUUUGCUAGAGAUCGGGAGAGGAGAGUGGAAUUCCCAGUGUAGAGGUGAAAUUCGUAGAUAUUGGGAAGAACACCGGUGGCGAAGGCGGCUCUCUGGACCGAUACUGACGCUGAGGCGCGAAAGCGUGGGGAGCAAACAGG
rnacentral:rRNA from 1 species